rnacentral:rRNA from 1 species
UUAAGCGACUAAGCGUACACGGUGGAUGCCUAGGCAGUCAGAGGCGAUGAAGGGCGUGCUAAUCUGCGAAAAGCGUCGGUAAGCUGAUAUGAAGCGUUAUAACCGACGAUACCCGAAUGGGGAAACCCAGUGCAAUACGUUGCACUAUCGUUAGAUGAAUACAUAGUCUAACGAGGCGAACCGGGGGAACUGAAACAUCUAAGUACCCCGAGGAAAAGAAAUCAACCGAGAUUCCCCCAGUAGCGGCGAGCGAACGGGGAGGAGCCCAGAGUCUGAAUCAGUUUGUGUGUUAGUGGAAGCGUCUGGAAAGUCGCACGGUACAGGGUGAUAGUCCCGUACACCAAAAUGCACAGGCUGUGAACUCGAUGAGUAGGGCGGGACACGUGACAUCCUGUCUGAAUAUGGGGGGACCAUCCUCCAAGGCUAAAUACUCCUGACUGACCGAUAGUGAACCAGUACCGUGAGGGAAAGGCGAAAAGAACCCCGGCGAGGGGAGUGAAAUAGAACCUGAAACCGUGUACGUACAAGCAGUGGGAGCACCUUCGUGGUGUGACUGCGUACCUUUUGUAUAAUGGGUCAGCGACUUAUAUUUUGUAGCAAGGUUAACCGAAUAGGGGAGCCGUAGGGAAACCGAGUCUUAACUGGGCGUCUAGUUGCAAGGUAUAGACCCGAAACCCGGUGAUCUAGCCAUGGGCAGGUUGAAGGUUGGGUAACACUAACUGGAGGACCGAACCGACUAAUGUUGAAAAAUUAGCGGAUGACUUGUGGCUGGGGGUGAAAGGCCAAUCAAACCGGGAGAUAGCUGGUUCUCCCCGAAAGCUAUUUAGGUAGCGCCUCGUGAACUCAUCUUCGGGGGUAGAGCACUGUUUCGGCUAGGGGGCCAUCCCGGCUUACCAAACCGAUGCAAACUCCGAAUACCGAAGAAUGUUAUCACGGGAGACACACGGCGGGUGCUAACGUCCGUCGUGAAGAGGGAAACAACCCAGACCGCCAGCUAAGGUCCCAAAGUCAUGGUUAAGUGGGAAACGAUGUGGGAAGGCACAGACAGCCAGGAUGUUGGCUUAGAAGCAGCCAUCAUUUAAAGAAAGCGUAAUAGCUCACUGGUCGAGUCGGCCUGCGCGGAAGAUAUAACGGGGCUAAACCAUGCACCGAAGCUGCGGCAGCGACGUUUAGGCGUUGUUGGGUAGGGGAGCGUUCUGUAAGCCGUUGAAGGUGACCUGUGAGGGUUGCUGGAGGUAUCAGAAGUGCGAAUGCUGACAUAAGUAACGAUAAUGCGGGUGAAAAACCCGCACGCCGGAAGACCAAGGGUUCCUGUCCAACGUUAAUCGGGGCAGGGUGAGUCGACCCCUAAGGCGAGGCUGAAAAGCGUAGUCGAUGGGAAACAGGUUAAUAUUCCUGUACUUGGUGUUACUGCGAAGGGGGGACGGAGAAGGCUAGGCUGGCCGGGCGACGGUUGUCCCGGUUUAAGCGUGUAGGGGGAGUGACCAGGUAAAUCCGGUUGCUUAUCAACCCUGAGGCGUGAUGACGAUGCACCACGGUGCAGAAGCAGUUGAUGCCAUGCUUCCAGGAAAAGCCUCUAAGCAUCAGGUAACAUUAAAUCGUACCCCAAACCGACACAGGUGGUCAGGUAGAGAAUACUCAGGCGCUUGAGAGAACUCGGGUGAAGGAACUAGGCAAAAUGGUGCCGUAACUUCGGGAGAAGGCACGCUGGCGUUAGGUGAAAGGACUAGCUCCUGGAGCUGAAGCCAGUCGCAGAUACCAGCUGGCUGCAACUGUUUAAUAAAAACACAGCACUGUGCAAACACGAAAGUGGACGUAUACGGUGUGACGCCUGCCCGGUGCUGGAAGGUUAAUUGAUGGGGUCAGCCGCAAGGCGAAGCUCUUGAUCGAAGCCCCAGUAAACGGCGGCCGUAACUAUAACGGUCCUAAGGUAGCGAAAUUCCUUGUCGGGUAAGUUCCGACCUGCACGAAUGGCGUAAUGAUGGCCAGGCUGUCUCCACCCGAGACUCAGUGAAAUUGAACUCGCUGUGAAGAUGCAGUGUACCCGCGGCAAGACGGAAAGACCCCGUGAACCUUUACUAUAGCUUGACACUGAACAUUGAGCCUUGAUGUGUAGGAUAGGUGGGAGGCCUUGAAGUGUGGACGCCAGUCUGCAUGGAGCCAACCUUGAAAUACCACCCUUUAAUGUUUGAUGUUCUAACUCGGCCCCAUGAUCUGGGGUGAGGACAGUGUCUGGUGGGUAGUUUGACUGGGGCGGUCUCCUCCCAAAGAGUAACGGAGGAGCACGAAGGUUAGCUAAUCACGGUCGGACAUCGUGAGGUUAGUGCAAAGGCAUAAGCUAGCUUGACUGCGAGAGUGACGGCUCGAGCAGGUACGAAAGUAGGUCUUAGUGAUCCGGUGGUUCUGAAUGGAAGGGCCAUCGCUCAACGGAUAAAAGGUACUCCGGGGAUAACAGGCUGAUACCGCCCAAGAGUUCAUAUCGACGGCGGUGUUUGGCACCUCGAUGUCGGCUCAUCACAUCCUGGGGCUGAAGUAGGUCCCAAGGGUAUGGCUGUUCGCCAUUUAAAGUGGUACGCGAGCUGGGUUUAGAACGUCGUGAGACAGUUCGGUCCCUAUCUGCCGUGGGCGUUGGAAGAUUGAGAGGGGCUGCUCCUAGUACGAGAGGACCGGAGUGGACGAAUCACUGGUGUUCGGGUUGUCAUGCCAAUGGCAUUGCCCGGUAGCUAAAUUCGGAAGAGAUAACCGCUGAAAGCAUCUAAGCGGGAAACUUGCCUCGAGAUGAGUCUUCCCUGGGGCUUAAAGCCCCCUGAAGGAACGUUAAAGACUAUGACGUUGAUAGGCUGGGUGUGUAAGUGCAGCGAUGUAUUGAGCUAACCAGUACUAAUGAUCCGUGAGGCUUAACCUU